rnacentral:rRNA from 1 species
CCAGACUCCUACGGGAGGCAGCAGUGGGGAAUAUUGCACAAUGGGGGGAACCCUGAUGCAGCGACGCCGCGUGGGUGAAGGAGCACCUCGGUGCGUAAAGCCCUAUCGGCAGGGAAGAAAAGCGAACAGGUUCGCCUGGACGGUACCUGACUAAGAAGCCCCGGCUAACUACGUGCCGGCAGCCGCGGUAAUACGUAGGGGGCAAGCGUUAUCCGGAUUUACUGGGUGUAAAGGGAGCGUAGACGGUAAGGCAAGUCAGAUGUGAAAGCCCGGGGCGCAACCGCGGGACUGCAUUUGAAACUGUCCUACUGGAGUGCAGGAGAGGUAAGUGGAAUUCCUAGUGUAGCGGUGAAAUGCGUAGAUAUUAGGAGGAACACCAGUGGCGAAGGCGGCUUACUGGACUGUAACUGACGUUGAGGCUCGAAAGCGUGGGGAGCAAACAGGAUUAGAUACCCUCGUACU